AGAUGAUUCCUCCUCUAAAAUUCUCACUCUGAGAAUUUUUUUGAAUACCAGGACCUCAAGAUGCUCUUCCUCUUCUCCUAGCCUUCCUAUCCCUACCUUUCUUCUCUCCUUGUCUUCCUUAAUUCUCUUCCUAGACUCUUGUCCUAAAAUCGGAUUUGUCCUUUCUAUUUUUGGACUUGUCCUAAUAAGAGAAGGAAGAAACUAAUUGGACAAUAGGGAGAGG
rnacentral:lncRNA from 1 species